rnacentral:rRNA from 1 species
UGGAGGAAAGUAGGGGAUCGAAAGACCUUAUGCUUUUGGAGCGGCCGAUGUCUGAUUAGCUAGUUGGUGGGGUAAUUGCCUACCAAGGCGACGAUCAGUAGUUGGUCUGAGAGGACGACCAGCCACACUGGGACUGAGACACGGCCCAGACUCCUACGGGAGGCAGCAGUGGGGGAUUUUGGACAAUGGGCGCAAGCCUGAUCCAGCAAUGCCGCGUAAGUGAAGAAGGCCUUCGGGUUGUAAAGCUCUUUCAGUUGAGAAGAAAAGAUUGUAACUAAUAAUUACAGUUCAUGACGGUAUCAACAGAAGAAGCACCGGCUAACUACGUGCCAGCAGCCGCGGUAAUACGUAGGGUGCAAGCGUUAAUCGGAAUUACUGGGCGUAAAGGGUGCGCAGGCGGUUCUGUAAGUCAGAUGUGAAAUCCCCGGGCUUAACCUGGGAACUGCGUUUGAAACUACAAAGCUAGAGCUGGAGGAAAGUAGGGGAUCGUCGGCGUUUGAAACUACAAAGCUAG